rnacentral:rRNA from 1 species
UACGUAGGGUGCAAGCGUUGUCCGGAAUUAUUGGGCGUAAAGAGCUCGUAGGCGGUUUGUUGCGUCGGCUGUGAAAUCCCCGAGGCUCAAACCUCGGGUCUGCAGUCGAUACGAGCAAACUAGAGUGUUGCAGGGGAGACUGGAAUUCCUGGGUGUAGCGGUGAAAUGCGCAGAUAUCAGGAGGAACACCGGUGGCGAAGGCGGGUCUCUGGGCCGAUGCUGACGCUGAGGAGCGAAAGCGUGGGGAGCGAACAGG